GACCACGAAUCAACAUGGCGAAAUGGUUUCUGAUUAUCGGACUGCUGGCUACGGUCUUCUGUCAAUUCAAAGCCGAGUUCUCUCAUCACAUCAACACACCAAAUCCUUUUGAUUACAAUUGUACAACAAAUCGCAAAUGUGAACAUCUGUGUGGAGUUGGACAGGGUUGGUGCCUUGGUGGCUGGUGCGCAUGUGUACGAAAACGGGACAUUCCUUCAGCUUCCCUUUGUGGACGGGACGAGGAUUGUCAAGUCAUGGGCUGCUCUCUCUCAAUCUUCACCCCUAGGUGUUUCUUAGGACAGUGCCUCUGUAUUCCUGAACUUGGAAAAUAAAGUCCACCGUGCUUUGUUUGCAUUUUCCUGAC